GUGCUUGCUUCAGCAGCACAUACAUUAAAACUGGAAUGAUACAGAGAAGAUUAACAUGGCCCCUGUGCAAGGAUGACACACAAACUUGUGAGCAUUCCAUAUUUUA